rnacentral:rRNA from 1 species
GCCUACGGGGGGCAGCAGUUAGGAAUUUUCGUCAAUGGGCGCAAGCCUGAACGAGCAAUGCCGCGUGAACGAGGAAGGUCUUCGGAUCGUAAAGUUCUGUUGAAGGGGAAAAAGAGCGGAGAGAGGAAAUGGUCUCCGAUUGAUAUUACCCUUCGAGGAAGUCACGGCUAACUACGUGCCAGCAGCCGCGGUAAUACGUAGGUGGCGAGCGUUAUCCGGAAUGAUUGGGCGUAAAGGGUGCGUAGGCGGCCUGCUAAGUCUGGAGUGAAAGGUACCGGCUCAACCGGUACAGGCCCUGGAAACUG